rnacentral:rRNA from 1 species
AUUGAACGCUGGCGGCAGGCCUAACACAUGCAAGUCGAACGAGUGGCGGACGGGUGAGUAAUGCUUGGGAAUCUGCCUGAUGGAGGGGGAUAACUACUGGAAACUGUAGCUAAUACCGCAUACCAUAAGAUGAGCCCAGGGGGGAUUAGCUAGUUGGUGAGGUAACGGCUCACCAAGGCGACGAUCCCUAGCUGGUCUGAGAGGAUGACCAGCCACACUGGUACUGAGACACGGCCCAGACUCCUACGGGAGGCAGCAGUGGGGAAUAGUGCGCAAUGGGGGCAAGCCUGACGCAGCCAUGCCGCGUGAAUGAAGAAGGCCUUCGGGUUGUAAAGUUCUUUCGGUAGCGAGGCGUUACCCGCAGAAGAAGCACCGGCUAACUCCGUGCCAGCAGCCGCGGUAAUAC